rnacentral:rRNA from 1 species
CCUACGGGUGGCAGCAGUGAGGAAUAUUGGUCAAUGGGCGCGAGCCUGAACCAGCCAAGUAGCGUGAAGGAUGACUGCCCUACGGGUUGUAAACUUCUUUUAUAAAGGAAUAAAGUGAGGCACGUGUGCCUUUUUGUAUGUACUUCAUGAAUAAGGAUCGGCUAACUCCGUGCCAGCAGCCGCGGUAAUACGGAGGAUCCGGGCGUUAUCCGGAUUUUUUUGGUUUAAAGGGAGCGUAGAGGGGUUGUUAAGUCAGUUGGUAAAGUGUGCGGCUCAACCGGAAAACUGCAAUUGAUACUGGCAGUCUUGAGUACAGUUGAGGUAGGCGGAAUGCGUGGUGUAGCGGUGAAAUGCUUAGAUAUCACGAAGAACUCCGAUUGCGAAGGCAGCUUACUAAACUGCCACUGACAUUGAUGCUCGAAAGUGUGGGUAUCAAACAGGAUUAGAUACCCUUGUAGUC